GACAUAGGGGGCAAGCGUUGUCCGGAAUUACUGGGCGUAAAGGGAGCGUAGGCGGGUAAUUAAGUUAAGUGUGAAAGCCUUGGGCUUAACCCAAGAAAUGCACUUGAUACUGGUUUUCUAGAGUGUAGGAGAGGUAAGUGGAAUUCCUAGUGUAGCGGUAAAAUGCGUAGAGAUUAGGAGGAACAUCAGAGGCGAAGGCGGCUUACUGGACUAUAACUGACGCUGAGGCUCGAAAGCGUGGGGAGCAAACAGG
rnacentral:rRNA from 1 species